rnacentral:rRNA from 1 species
GGGAGGCAGCAGUGGGGAAUAUUGGACAAUGGGCGAAAGCCUGAUCCAGCCAUGCCGCGUGUGUGAAGAAGGCCUUUUGGUUGUAAAGCACUUUAAGCGAGGAGGAGGCUACUNAGAUUAAUACUCUAGGAUAGUGGACGUUACUCGCAGAAUAAGCACCGGCUAACUCUGUGCCAGCAGCCGCGGUAAUACAGAGGGUGCGAGCGUUAAUCGGAUUUACUGGGCGUAAAGCGUGCGUAGGCGGCUUUUUAAGUCGGAUGUGAAAUCCCUGAGCUUAACUUAGGAAUUGCAUUCGAUACUGGGAAGCUAGAGUAUGGGAGAGGAUGGUAGAAUUCCAGGUGUAGCGGUGAAAUGCGUAGAGAUCUGGAGGAAUACCGAUGGCGAAGGCAGCCAUCUGGCCUAAUACUGACGCUGAGGUACGAAAGCAUGGGGAGCAAACAGGAUUAGAUACCCUGGUAGUCCAUGCCGUAAACGAUGUCUACUAGCCGUUGGGGCCUUUGAGGCUUUAGUGGCGCAUCUAACGCAGAUAAGUAAACCGCCUG